rnacentral:tRNA from 1 species
GCCCGUCCCCGGCAAAUACGCCCCGACGCCUCUCGUAAGAAGGUCAUCAGUUCGAUUCUGAUAGGCGGCUCCA